UCUUCAUUCUCAGAAUUUUCAUUAUUAAAAUGAACUUCUUCAUCAUUAUCGUUAAAACCCUCAUCAGCUAAAUGUGUGGCUUCAAACUCAACUUCAUCAUUAUUAUAAUCGUCGACAUCUUCCACUUCUUCUGACCUUCCGUUCUCAUGUACAUAAGAAAUGGGGAGAAGAUCCUCUAUAACUGUGCAUUCUACCCUUUCAUUCUCUUGAAAUAAAUGUUCCAUGUUGGCAUCAUCAUCCUCCACCACUUCACUAACAUCUUGGGCGAGUUCGUAAACUCCCCUUGGGGUCGUCUUUACAACCGCUAACCAACCAUUUAGUUCUUUUGCUUUUGAAGGAUAAAUGGGUCAUCAACACAUCCUAUUACCGUAGGUUUAACAUCAACCAUAUGAGUUUUGGGGUCUACCCUUACCCCCUUCACAGGAUCAAACCAAGUACAUCUAAACAAAACAACCACACAACGCCCAGUGGCGCUAUGGUAUUCCAACUCUAGGAUCUCAUCUAAUUAUCCAUAGUAGUCGUUUUCAUUUUCGUCGUACGUAGCCCCUUUGACACAGACACCACAAUUUUGUGUGACUCGGCCAUCAUAAGUUGUUUGUGUGUGAAACUUGUAACCAUUGACAAAAUAUCCCUUGUGAGAUUUUACAUAAGUAAGCGGCCCUUGGGCUAUGUCUCUUAGAUGUUCCUUAUUUGGAACAUUCAUAACCUACAUUCAUAAAAUUGUGUUAGUAUUUUUUUAAUGCUAUAACAUAAAGAUAAAGGUGUGUCAGAAUGCUUACAUGCUCCUUCAACCACUUAGCAAAUUCCUUCUCUUUCAUUUUAUCAAGGGUUGCUUCAUCAAAGUGUGGGAAGGAAUCUCUCAACUCAUUAUCAAAUAGCCAAACGGACUCGAGAAGCUCUUCACAAUUAAGUAAUAUAUAAGUAUGAGCCUUGUCUCUAUCUUUUUGUGUAAGAAUUUUGUCAUGUCCACCUUUUUCAAAUAAUCUUCGAGAAGGAUGUUUGAAUAUACUUAACCGAAGAUCGGUACUUGAAGACCAAGGAAUGUUAGGGGCAAAGUUGUGUGGUUCACGAACUGUCGGCUCCAGAUACAGAGAGCAAUAGUUUGUAAGUUCAUCCACAAGAUUAGACUGAACAAUGGAACCUUCUAUAUUCCCUUUGUUUUUAAUCAUUCUUUUUAAUCGACCCAAUUUCCUAUAAAAUGAACUGGAAAGUUAGAAGUUAUCUAGCAUAUAAUAUGUGAAAUUGAUAUGUUAUUAAGUUAAAAAUGAUUACCUCUCGUACGGAUACAUCCACCUAAACUGCACCGGACCUCCGAGGAUAGCUUCAUUCACCAAAUGUAUAACAAGGUGUUCCAUUGAGUCAAAGAACCCAGGAGGAAAGAUUUUUUCUAACUUGCAAAUAGUUAUGACGAUACUACUCUUCAACUUUCGUAAAUCUUCAAGGUGUAGAACCCUUGAGCAUAUGACACGAAAGAACGUGCAAAGCUCUAGUAUUGAUUCCCAUAUUUGCUUUGGUAGCAUCCCUCGUAAGACGAUAGGAAAUAAUCGUUGCAUGAAGACAUGACAUUCAUGGCUUUUAAAGUUGUAAAAGGUAUUAUCCUUAAGGUUCACACAUCCCCCAAUAUGCAAUUGUUCAAGUAUAACAAGGCAAGCCCCAUCGAGGUCUAUGACUCCUACUUGCUCUCGGGUUGCAAACCAAGAGUCAAAGGAGAUUGGGAAAUUCAUUAAUGCUUUUGACAUCACGCUUGACGUUUGCUUGUCGAAUGUUUUCUCGCAAUCACGAGUUCUUGAUCAAAUUCAAGAUGAAGAGACAAAAAUAGAUGUUUGUGUGGAAGAUGAAAUGAUUGUGUAUUUGAACCGAAAAGACGUUCAAACCGCUCUUCAUGCUCGACUUGUGGUUGUCAAAAAUUGGACCCCCUGUAGGGAGGAAUACAUGAACCCAACAUCGUGUUCCAGUUUAUCAAUUUAAUAGUCAUGUACUAAUAACCAUUUCAUGUUUUUUUAACUACAGGGUUUAAGCUAGUACUCUUACAACCAUGUACAACAAGUGUGGUAAGCAGUGGCGGAGCUAGACCUUAAAACCAGGGGUAUCCCAAAAAAAAUGUUGGGUUAAUCGGUUCGUAUAAGGGUCACGGGUCGGCACGUUAUCGGGUCGCCGGUUCACGGAUACGGGUUCGCAAAGGAUGCGGGUUAUUUACGAGUCAAGUUCGGACCGAGUACGAGUCAAGCCGGUUACCGGGUUUCACAUGAAUGGGUCACACGGGUUGAAUGCAUGGGUUGCAAGAGUGUUACCGUUGGAGUGGAAGACAUUAACGUUGAGGUGUACAGUGGGUUGUAACGGUUCUUUAGGAUAGAAACUAGAAUGUAGGAUUUUAUUGUUUUCUUUUUACUAUUUAAGUAUGCAUGUAAAGACUAUAUAAAGCCUGGUUUGUUCAUGAGAUAUUAAACCAUUCAUUCAAAAUAUACAACAACCUUUUCCAUUCUCUGCAGUCUGCACAUUUUACAUAUACCGGUCCUGUUGCAAAUGGAGCAAAAACAACUAAUAUGGAAAUAACCAGCCAGUUGGGCAGAGUAAGGUGCCAGAGACCGAAGUAAAAUUGCAGCUAUUUUCUGUGAGUGGGCCGAUUCCUCUAGUUUAUAAGCUUGAGGGUCUAAAAUGCCAAAAUGCUUAAAGUUCAAACUAAUCCAUGGCACUAAAGACAAAAGUUUAAUGGGUUCGUAUUAUUGUGUUGACCGAAUUUUAAAGGUUGACCGAGUUGUGAGUUUGUUGAUUCCCAUAUGUAUUUUAUUUCUAAUUGGGCUGCACACAUAUCCAUUUGAGUAAUACAUGCAUGUGGACUACAAAUCAGUGGGCAUACGAAUGAAUUGUUGGGCUGCAAUAAGAAAAGAAAAGAAAGCAGGUAGUAGGGAGCAAGGAAGGGUCUUUCGGGGGUUCCUUAGUCUACAAGAAAAAAAAAAGAAAAAUAUAUACAUACAGACAUAUACGGCUGAAAGGAGACGCACGAAGGUUAAUAUAUCAUCACGGCAGGGACGAAUUUAGUGGUGGGAUUUUGGCAUAAGGAAUAAAGUCACGGAAUCAUUGGGUUGAAGCAAGAAGCUUGGAGAGCAAGGAAUUUAUGGGUUUUACCUUACAAUUUCUUUUAUUUUCUAGUUUCUUGGUUUUAAUUCCAUGAAUUCUUGUUUUGAAUCUUGUUUUAUUAUUUUUAAGACUAUGCUUCUUGGCUAGACUUUUUAUACUAC